CUUCCGUGUCCCCAAACGCCCAGAGCCCGGGACACGGGCCGGCGGCCGGGUCACCAAGCCAGUUCCCGGAAUCGGCUCGCGCCGGAAUCCAGACUCGGCUUGCAAAGCCCGCUCCUGCCGUCUCUCCGCAGCGCGCCCUGCCCCCCACUGCCGGCCCUCUUAGCUUCAAAACCAAAUUUUGCCUUUCAUCCUGAGAGAUUAAUACCCCGCAGGUGAAACCGUGGAGACGGAGCUGCGGAGGCGCUGCAAGGCUCCGUGCUCCUGGAGCUUCGAGUCUAUG
rnacentral:lncRNA from 1 species